UACAGAGGGUGCGAGCGUUGUUCGGAAUUACUGGGCGUAAAGCGCACGUAGGCGGAUAUUUAAGUCAGGGGUGAAAUCCCAGAGCUCAACUCUGGAACUGCCUUUGAUACUGGGUAUCUCGAGUAUGGAAGAGGUGAGUGGAAUUCCGAGUGUAGAGGUGAAAUUCGUAGAUAUUCGGAGGAACACCAGUGGCGAAGGCGGCUCACUGGUCCAUUACUGACGCUGAGGUGCGAAAGCGUGGGGAGCAAACAGG
rnacentral:rRNA from 1 species